GGAGUUGUGGCUCAGUGGUAGAACAUUUGCUUAGCAUGCAUGAAGCCCUGAGUUCGAUCCUCAGCACUACA
rnacentral:tRNA from 1 species